rnacentral:misc_RNA from 1 species
UUGAUUCAUUUGUUUUGCCUUGCGGCGGAUUCAGAAAAACUGGUAGAUACAGAGUUUGGGGGUCUCCGGCGGCCGCCUGGGUCCAGGCCGCGGGCCGGCGCGGGGCCGUCCGGACGCUGGGGCGAGUCCGCCGAAGCAACGAUGGGUAUGUUCACAAAGGGUUGGGAGUUGGAAAACUCGUUAAUGAUCCCUCCGCUGGUUCACCAACGGAGA